rnacentral:tRNA from 1 species
GAGGGAAUAACUCAGUGGUAGAGUGCAUGCUCAGCAUGCAUGAGGUCCUGGGUUCAAUCCUCAGUACUUCCA